GAUGAACGCUGGCGGCGUGCCUAAUACAUGCAAGUCGAGCGAACGGACGAGAAGCUUGCUUCUCUGAUGUUAGCGGCGGACGGGUGAGUAACACGUGGAUAACCUACCUAUAAGACUGGGAUAACUUCGGGAAACCGUAGCUAAUACCGGAUAAUAUUUUGAACCGCAUGGUUCAAAAGUGAAAGACGGUCUUGCUGUCACUUAUAGAUGGAUCCGCGCUGCAUUAGCUAGUUGGUAAGGUAACGGCUUACCAAGGCAACGAUGCAUAGCCGACCUGAGAGGGUGAUCGGCCACACUGGAACUGAGACACGGUCCAGACUCCUACGGGAGGCAGCAGUAGGGAAUCUUCCGCAAUGGGCGAAAGCCUGACGGAGCAACGCCGCGUGAGUGAUGAAGGUCCUCGGAUCGUAAAACUCUGUUAUUAGGGAAGAACAUAUGUGUAAGUAACUGUGCACAUCUUGACGGUAUCUAAUCAGAAAGCCACGGCUAACUACGUG
rnacentral:rRNA from 1 species